rnacentral:lncRNA from 1 species
UGGGUGGAUAGGUUCUGGUUGUGUGAUUCUAGAGCCAAAUAUAAAGAGCCAAAGGGCUUCUAGAUGAAAAUCAGCUCUGCUAGACUUAUGUUAUAUAUAUACUUAAAUUUUGUGACAACAUUUUUGACAGGUCAAAUACAGAUUGUAAUGACUGGAAAUUUACCAGUUUUGUUUUCAACUUCUUGAGCUUCCUAGGAGACCAGUUAUAUAGAACAACUAAAAGAGCAUCUCAAUUUCUAGAUGACCUCACGUUGGUGGUAGAGUCAAAAAGCCCUUCUAGAAGAGUCGGGCGGUUUCUUAACCCUGGCUGCCCAUUAGAAACACUUGGAAGCUUUUAACAAUUAUGAUGUUCUAGCCCCACCUGAACCCAAUUAAUAUAGAACACUGGGGAGUGGGGCCAGGGCAAAGGGCCCAGGGCAGUUUUAUAAGUGCCCUGGGUGAUUCUAAUUUUCAAUUAGGGUUAAAAAAAGCUAACACUGGGGUAUAACCUUUUGCUUUAACCCUUCAUCUUUUGAUCAGACUCAGAAGUGACAAUGUUAGAACAAAGAUGCUAACAGCUAACAUUUCAAAUCAAACCUUAGGCAUCAUUUAAAGCCAACGCAUCCUUAAAGACCCCAAGGGAAGGAGUAAAGAUGGAAAGAGCAAAGAUAUAUGGCUGGAGGGAUGAAAGAUCUUCUCUCCAGCAAGGCCCAACACAGCUGGCUGCCAGGUUCCAGGCAGCGGCACAGACGCACAGAUGCAGAAGGCACUUGGAGCCACAGGAAGCUUACAGUCGGGUCCUUGACCGGGUCUUCCUGUCGUCCUGCGCUCAGAUCCUUCACUGUCCUACUGCAGUUUUACAACCUAGCAGAAGGAAGUUCUUGAAAGCAUCGCUCUUUGUCCUCAGAGAGAUGAGUGAUCCUCAUCCUCAGGCAUCCUGUCUGAUGCUGACAAGCACUUGAUGACAAUGAGGAAAGCCAGCCUGAGCGGGAUGCUGAGACAUGAAGAGAAGACUAGGUAACAGAAUCUCAGAAUGAAGCUGAAGAGAAACUUCAGUUGCUUACUUUGAGAUAUAAUUGUUUUUUACUGACUGCUAAGUGAGAGAUUUUAUCUCUAACUAAGAGUUUGAGGAUGGAAGAAACUUCCUCUGCUAGCUUACUUUCAGUCUGGACCAAGGGACAACCUCUAGCAUCUCAGUGGCAUCUGAACCAACUCUGUCCACCCUUCCCAAAGAAGACUGCAUCCUUUGAGAAUAAAUUAUCACCCGGCAAUUAUGAUUUUCAAGCAUGAAAGUGAUCCCUACAGCUGGCCAAUCUGUGUGUGUAUUUCCUUCUGAGCCACAGAGUCAAUGCAGACCAGUGGCCAGAUAUCAAAACUCAUAUUUGGGAGAAAGUUAUUUUUUUGUCUCCAACUCAAGAAGAACAGGAGCUGAUGCCUGAUUUGUUCUCUGAUGCAUGCUAAAUAUCUAGACAAUUGCUUGGCAUAUAAUAGUCACUUAAAGUUUUUGUUGAAAAUAAGUAAAAUUAUAUUUAGUGUUUAUGUUGCUCUAUUUGCUGGAUCUGUAGUAUUCCAUAAACCAGAAUUUAUUUAUUCAUUUUCCCAUUUUGCAGCGUUUAAGUUCAUUCCAGUUUUUGCUAUUAUAAUUAAUGCUACUAUGAACAUCUUUGUACAUGUAUCCUUGAACAACCAGAUGAAACAUUUAAGGUGCGUGUAUGUACGUGUAUGUGUCUUUCUGUGCCUGUAGUGGUUUAUUGUAGUUACCUCAUCAAGUCAAAAUGCAGGUCCUUUCCCAUGGAAGUAUACUUAUGAAGCUCAAGCUACGUACUGACAAGAAAUUUUGAGGUACUGGCAAAUGAUCUUCAGAUAUAUAUUCCAGUUUGUUUUUAAAGAUUGGCCUUGAGCUAACAUCUGUUGACAAUCUUCCUCUUUUUGUUUUCUUCUCCCCAAACCUCCACAGUACAUAGCUGUAUAUUCUAGUUGUAGAUCCUUCUGGUUAUGCUAUGUGGGACACUGCUUCAGCAUGGCUUCAGCGUGCCAUGUCCACGCCCAGGAUCCAAACUGGUGAAACCCUGAGCGCCUAAGCUGAACGCCCAAACUUAACUGCUUGGCUGUUGGGCCAGCCCCUAUCUUCUUGCUUUAUAGAUAGUUAUUUUAUUUUGUAGACAACUUUGCUAGAUACUUCUUUCAGUUGUGGUCAAAUUUCUGGGCAUGAGGUAAGAAUGGGUUUAUCUUCCAGUCACAGUAUUUCUGUGAUCUGAGCAUCUGAACUGUUUAAUCACUGUCUCUAGGCUUAGCCAUUUCCAAGUCUUCAAGAUUUAUUCUAGAUUCAGUUGCAGUGAGAUAUAAGCUAUUUCAUACUAUCAUUCUUUGUCUUGCAUAUAGGCUGUAUAUUUCCAGGCACAAUAGGGAAGAUUAUACAAAAACAAAAUUAAAAAUAAGUUAUUAAAGGAGCACUCAAAAAUAAAUAACAAAAAAUAAUACAAAACAAUUGAACAGCUUAUAGAUUUGCCUGUUAAAAAUCAAAGUUGGUUAUAUAUUUAUAAUUAUUUGAAGAAGAAAAGAACAAAAUCAUAUGGAGGUAAAUAGAUAGAUAGAUAGAUAGAUAGAUAGAUAGAUAAAUGCACAUACAUAUAUGAUUAGAUAACCAAGUUUUGUAAACCAGUAUUUGAAAAUAAAAAGUAAAAUUCCCUUUAUACAUUUUAUUGCCAAUUAGAAUUUUUAGAUUUUUAAACAUUUUUUUAAAUUAAGGCAUAUUUACAACAUAGAGGCAAUAAAUUACAUUCUAGACAUUUAAAGGAGAAGCAAAUAGUAGGUUGGAUAUACACAUUAGCAUGCACCCAUUCAGAAGAACCAAUAAUUUAACUCUGAUGGAAUAGUAGGUUUUAUAAGUAAUAUUUCUUCUAAUUCUACUUCCCAAAUGUUAGCUAAUGUAAUGUUUUUGUUUAAUACAGGUUAAUACUUUCCAAUAUCCAUAAAUUAAAUAAUAUAUGAAAUAUAGCAUAUGCAGUGAAAUAGAAUUAAAUAUAAAAAACAUUCAGAUGAGGGCAAAGGAUCUUUAGGGAGCAAAGUCAUUGGUCUAAACUUUGAAGUUAAGUGGGACUUUAGUGUGCUGGCUUUGGGAGAGACAUUCAUAGGAUGUUUCACAGAGAAUUACUUGGGUGCUGAUUCCAUUGCCUAAGGUCCUGAUUUUAGCUGAGACAGAUGCCUCCAUCAUAGAACCUAUCUAACAGAGAGGGGGAAGGUAAAUUCUAGUUAGUUGCUGAGUGAGAAUCGGCAGAUCCGCAAGCCAAACCGGCAUAUAGAAAUUAAUAGGAAAAUAAUAAGAACACAACAUAUUUCAAAAAAAUGGCAUAAACAUAGUGGAGAGUAAAAACUUGUUCUUAAUUGCAAAAGAAAAAAAUAGUAAUUGUCCCCUACUCCCCAUUUGAGCUAGUGUCUUGCUUCUUUUUUUUUUUUUAAUAUGACUUUUAAAGUAUGGUGAUGGGAUAAGUGUCAGACAGCAAUGGAAGGAGCUAUAAGGACUAAAAGAAUAAGAUGAGCCAAGAGC